CCGCCCUGCGCUCCCGAGUCGGUAGCGGCACAGCCCGGGUCCGCGGCGCCGAGCGGCCGGCGGGGAGGCCAUGGACUGAGCGGCAACCAUGGGCGCCAAGGAGUCCCGCAUCGGCUUCCUCAGCUACGACGAGGCCCUACGAAGGGGUGAGGGCGGCACGGAGAGCGGGGUGGUGUGGGGGGGGGGGAUGUGCGGAGCUGAGCCGCGGUGGGGCGGGAAGGGGGCGCGGCGGGGCGGCUGCGGGAGGGGGCCCCGCUCUGCCCCUGUCAGCGGGCGGCGUGAGGCGGCUCCUCGCACCACCAUGACAGACCCGGCGCGGAGGCACUUGCGCCGUUCCUCUACCUCAGGCUCCUUCCCCGCCCCCUUCCUCCCCUCCCCUUAUUUAUUUAUUUAUCUCCCCUGCCUCAGCGAUGGGGCCUGGGCAGCAGCUGCGGGCAGGAUCUUCCUCUCCCGGCCGCCUCGGCAGCGGUCGCCGGUGGCCCUCGGCGGUGCCGUCCCGCAGCCGGGCCGCGGAGGGAAGGGACGGACAGAGGGAGGCGACGGGCCGAGGCACCCGGCGGGCGCUGGUACCUCAGACCCUGCCGCCGCCUCGCAGCCCUCGGCCCUGCCUUCGCCCGCCGCUCGCCGGCUCUCCCGGCUACCCUGGAACACGGCGUUGGGAAAUCCUGCCAUCCCGGUGUGACGGGACGUGCCGCGCUGCUCCUCGCCGCGCUCCUGUCACCUCACGGCUCUCCCAUACCUGCCGGCUCCUCAUGUUUACCUGCUGCUGCCCGCGAUAGGGAGCACGCAUCCAGCAUCUCAGGGCUGGAAGAUGGAUGUAGCUUGAGUGGUUUAUUAUGUAUGUUGCUGGUUCAGUCCGUUUCUAGAUGCCUCCUGGAGAAUUUAAAGAGGAACUAGUGAAGAGAAAACAUAAACAAGCUGAAUGCUUGCAGCUGCAGGGCUCCAAGGCGACAGGCAAGCUAAACCCUAUCAGCUACCUUGCUUAGAACUGAUAUCCAAGUCCAAGGACAAAGAGGGACAGUAAUUUUCAGCAGUAAAUGGUUAGCAGGGAGGAUAGGGGUUUAUUUUAAUAAUUGUUGCUCGAUUGUGCAUUUGUGUGAUGUAGUACAGUUAAACAGUUCACCUGUUUGAUAUUUAAAGCACUGAUAAAAUUUGGAAAGCUCAAACCAGUACAUGGCUGCCCUUUUUAUGUCUACUUAAAUCUGAGAAGCACGCAAUGAUUGAUAAGGGAAAAGUGUGAGGAGACAUUGAGUGUUAAUUGAAGAAGAAGCAAAUAAA
rnacentral:lncRNA from 1 species